GCAAGUCGAACGGUAACAGAGAUAAACCUAGUUUAUUUGCUGACGAGUGGCGCACGGGUGAGUAACGCGUACACUACCUACCUUUAGCUGGGGGAAAUAUACCGGAAACGGAGUAAAUACCCCAUAGUAUCAUUGUUUAGUUAUGGUGAUUAAAGUUUCGGCCGCUUUGAGAUGGGUGUGCGUACUAUUAGAUUGUUGGUGAGGUAACGGCUCACCAAGUCGACGAUAGUUAGGGGGCGUGAGAGCGUGAUC
rnacentral:rRNA from 1 species